rnacentral:rRNA from 1 species
GACAGAGGGUGCAAACGUUGUUCGGAAUUACUGGGCGUAAAGCGUGUGUAGGCGGCUACGCAAGUCGGAUGUGAAAGCCCCGGGCUCAACCCGGGAAGUGCACCCGAAACUGCGUGGCUCGAGUACCGGAGAGGUUGGUGGAAUUCUCGGUGUAGAGGUGAAAUUCGUAGAUAUCGAGAGGAACACCGGUGGCGAAGGCGGCCAACUGGACGAGUACUGACGCUGAGACACGAAAAGCGUGGGGGAGCAAACAGG